AUUGAACGCUGGCGGCAGGCCUAACACAUGCAAGUCGGACGGUAGCACAGAGGAGCUUGCUCCUCGGGUGACGAGUGGCGGACGGGUGAGUAAUGUCUGGGGAUCUGCCCGAUAGAGGGGGAUAACCACUGGAAACGGUGGCUAAUACCGCAUGACGUCGCAAAACCAAAGAGGGGGACCUUCGGGCCUCUCACUAUCGGAUGAACCCAGAUGGGAUUAGCUAGUAGGCGGGGUAACGGCCCACCUAGGCGACGAUCCCUAGCUGGUCUGAGAGGAUGACCCGCCACACUGGAACAGAGACACGGUCCAGACUCCUACGGGAGGCAGCAGUGGGGAAUAUUGCACAAUGGGCGCAAGCCUGAUGCAGCCAUGCCGCGUGUAUGAAGAAGGCCUUCGGGUUGUAAAGUACUUUCAGCGGGGAGGAAGGCGAUGUGGUUAAUAACCGCGUCGAUUGACGUUACCCGCAGAAGAAGCACCGGCUAACUCCGUGCCAGCCGCCGCCGUAA
rnacentral:rRNA from 1 species